CGGAGGCAGCAGUAAGGAAUCUUGCGCAAUGGGCGAAAGCCUGACGCAGCGACGCCGCGUGAGUGAUGAAGGCCUUCGGGUUGUAAAGCUCUGUGGAGCGGGACGAAUAAGUCGUGGCCAACAUCCACGAUGAUGACGGUACCGCUUUAGCAAGCACCGGCUAACUCUGUGCCAGCAGCCGCGGUAAGACAGAGGGUGCAAACGUUGUUCGGAAUUACUGGGCGUAAAGCGCGUGUAGGCUACUUCGAAAGUCGGAUGUGAAAGCCCUGGGCUCAACCUAGGAAGUGCAUUCGAAACUUCGAAGCUGGAGUCCUGGAGAGGAAGGCGGAAUUCUCGGUGUAGAGGUGAAAUUCGUAGAUAUCGAGAGGAACACCGGUGGCGAAGGCGGCCUUCUGGACAGUGGCUGACGCUGAGACGCGAAAGCGUGGGGAGCAAACAGGAUUAGAUACCCGAGUAG
rnacentral:rRNA from 1 species